GACGCGGUCUUGGAGUAGAACUACAGUCCAUCUAGAAAGCUGCUAAUGAACGCAUGCGGUGUCAGACAGCUCUAGAGUCUAACAAGUUAAACCAAGUUCUCAUUUCCGUGUGUUUUGAUACGUUAUUUACUGCACUUUUACAUAUUUGGAAAAAGACGGAGUUGUCGUAUGCGGUAGUUAACUGGUUUUUAUUAAACAGGUAAAUAGGCCCAGGUGUAAGCCGGACCUGUGAGGGCUCGAGGAAACAGUCUGUAGGCUUACAUCCUUCAUUUGCACUGUGUUGUGUGUUAACUAAGGUAUCAUUGCUCUUACUUGGUGCAGCUAUAAAAUAUAACCUGGAAAUCAUUCUUUUUACAGUUAGAAUUAAGAAUAGAGGAACUGAAUAAAGAAAUUAAAGCUUCCAAAGAUCAGCUAGUCGCACAGGAUGUCACAGCUAAAAAUGCAAUUCAGCAAAUCCAUAAAGAGAUGGCCCAGCGGAUGGACCAGGUAUUUCCUGCCACUAUUAAUUUGAUCAUUUGGUGUUUCAUGUUUAUUGGACUGUACCACUUGGGUGAUGACAUCGCUGGAGUUUACAUAAAAGCUUUUCAAGGAAACUAAGGGCUGGAAGGAUGACUCAGCUGUGAAGGCGCUCCCUGGUGUCCCCGAAGUCCAGUUGGCUUUCUAGCAUCCAGCCACAAGACCCCCAACCACCUGUCACUCCAGUGCCAGGGCUCUGACGCCCUCUUGUGGCUUAAGAGUAUUCAUAUGCAUGUGGUCCAGCAGACAAGCACAAAAACAUAAAUAAAAAAGACAUCUCAAACAGUAGCAAGAUGGCAAUACGUAAGUUUAAGUACAUCCUAAUUGU
rnacentral:lncRNA from 1 species